rnacentral:rRNA from 1 species
CAAUAGCGUAUAUUAAAGUUGUUGCAGUUAAAAAGCUCGUAGUUGGAUUUGUGGCACAGCUUUUACUCCAUUUUUGGUAGUGUAAGCUUUGUCAUCCUUGAGUAAAGCAUGUGUGGCAUUAGGUUGUCGUGCAUAGGAUACUUAUCUUUUACUGUGAAAAAAUCAGGGCGUUCAAAGCAAGCUUAUGCUGGUGAAUGGAUUAGCAUGGAAUAAUAAAAUAUGACCUUGUUACUAUUUUGUUGGUUUGUGUAUCAAGGUAAUGAUUAAUAGGGAUAGUUGGGGGUAUUUGUAUUCCACUGUCAGAGGUGAAAUUCUUGGAUUUUUGGAAGACAAGCUACUGCGAAAGCAUUUACCAAGGAUGUUUUCAUUAA